rnacentral:antisense_RNA from 1 species
CGCCCGCCUGCAAGGCGCACACGCCCGCGGGUUCUGUCUACGGAUCCGGGUCCAGGUGGGAGUUGGGGAGAGGUCUGCGUUUCCUUUGGGGAGCCCCAGUUCUGCACGUCGACAGCCAGUGCGCGGAUCCCAGUCCCACCUCGAGGCCGAUUUGGAUCCUAUUUCGUGUUCCCCUUUUCCAUCCGGUCUCCCCAGAAGGAGAAUGGUUCUCGAGGCUGGAGGAAGGGGGUGGGGACUUGCUUUUUAUGUUUUUUUCUUUUUUCUAUUUUUCUUAAAUAAAGGUUCAUUUCUGUACAACCACGAACUCCGCAGACCGUGCGAGACCCCGCUACCACACGGCCGCCUCGUUCAUUUCGGGGGGGUGGGACAGGCGGGGAGAAAGAUGACAGCGAGAGAGGGGGAAGAUGUAAAAAGUGGAGGAAGUAGGAGAGGAGGAAUGGAGCACAGAAAGAAGGGAAGAGAGAGAUAAAGAGAGGCAGAAUUCCGGUUAAGCAGGUGAGAAGGCAGCAGGAGAGAGAGCGCGGCACCAGGGAAGUGUCAGGGAGGA